AUUGAACGCUGGCGGCAGGCUUAACACAUGCAAGUCGAGCGGAGAGAGGUAGCUUGCUACUGAUCUUAGCGGCGGACGGGUGAGUAAUGCUUAGGAAUCUGCCUAUUAGUGGGGGACAACAUUUCGAAAGGAACGCUAAUACCGCAUACGUCCUACGGGAGAAAGCAGGGGACCUUCGGGCCUUGCGCUAUCAGAUGAGCCUAGGUCGGAUUAGCUAGUUGGUGAGGUAAUGGCUCACCAAGGCGACGAUCCGUAACUGGUCUGAGAGGAUGAUCAGUCACACUGGAACUGAGACACGGUCCAGACUCCUACGGGAGGCAGCAGUGGGGAAUAUUGGACAAUGGGCGAAAGCCUGAUCCAGCCAUGCCGCGUGUGUGAAGAAGGUCUUCGGAUUGUAAAGCACUUUAAGUUGGGAGGAAGGGCAGUAAGCGAAUACCUUGCUGUUUUGACGUUACCGACAGAAUAAGCACCGGCUAACUCUGUGCCAGCCGCCGCCGUAAGAC
rnacentral:rRNA from 1 species